rnacentral:rRNA from 1 species
CCUACGGGAGGCAGCAGUGGGGAAUCUUGCGCAAUGGGCGAAAGCCUGACGCAGCAACGCCGCGUGCGGGAAGAAGGCUUUCGGGCUGUAAACCGCUUUCAGCAGGAACGAAAAUGACGGUACCUGCAGAAGAAGGAGCGGCCAACUAUGUGCCAGCAGCCGCGGUGAUACAUAGGCUUCAAGCGUUGUCCGGAUUUAUUGGGCGUAAAGAGUUCGUAGGCGGUCGAGUAAGUCGGGUGUGAAAAUUCUGGGCUCAACCCAGAGACGCCACCCGAUACUGCUUGACUUGAGUUCGAUAGGGGAGUGGGGAAUUCCUAGUGUAGCGGUGAAAUGCGCAGAUAUUAGGAGGAACACCGGUGGCGAAGGCGCCACUCUGGGUCGAUACUGACGCUGAGGAACGAAAGCAUGGGUAGCAAACAGGAUUAGAUACCCUGGUAGUCCAUGCCGUAAACGGUGGGCACUAGGUGUGGGUUUCUAUUAACGAAAUCCGCGCCGUCGCUAACGCAUUAAGUGCCCCGCCUGGGGAGUACGGUCGCAAGACUAAAACUCAAAUGAAUUGACGG